rnacentral:rRNA from 1 species
CAUGCAAGUCGAACGAACCUUCGGGUUAGUGGCGGACGGGUGAGUAACGCGUGAGAAUCUGCCCUCAGGAGGGGGAUAACAGUUGGAAACGACUGCUAAUACCCCAUAUGCCGAGAGGUGAAAUAAAUUUCGCCUGGGGAUGAGCUCGCGUCUGAUUAGCUUGUUGGUGGGGUAAUAGCCUACCAAGGCUUCGAUCAGUAGCUGGUCUGAGAGGACGAUCAGCCACACUGGGACUGAGACACGGCCCAGACUCCUACGGGAGGCAGCAGUGGGGAAUUUUCCGCAAUGGGCGAAAGCCUGACGGAGCAACGCCGCGUGAGGGAUGGAGGCCUUUGGGCUGUAAACCUCUUUUCUCAAGGAAGAAGAUCUGACGGUACUUGAGGAAUAAGCCACGGCUAAUUCCGUGCCAGCAGCCGCGGUAAUACGGGAGUGGCAAGCGUUAUCCGGAAUUAUUGGGCGUAAAGCGUCCGCAGGCGGCCGUUUAAGUCUGUUGUUAAAUCGUGGAGCUCAACUCCAUCACGGCAAUGGAAACUGUUCGGCUUGAGUAUGGUAGGGGCAGAGGGAAUUUCCGGUGUAGCGGUGAAAUGCGUAGAUAUCGGGAAGAACACCAGUGGCGAAAGCGCUCUGCUGGGCCAUUACUGACG